AAAUAAGAAACAAAAUUUUGUAUUUAGUUUCGACCUAAAUUUUGAUGACUACUCAUCCUUAUUUU
rnacentral:tRNA from 1 species